GAUGAACGCUAGCGGGAGGCCUAACACAUGCAAGCCGAGCGGUAUUUGUCUUUCGGGACAGAGAGAGCGGCGUACGGGUGCGGAACGCGUGUGCAACCUGCCUUUAUCUGGGGGAUAGCCUUUCGAAAGGAAGAUUAAUACCCCAUAAUAUAAUGAAUGGCAUCAUUUAUUAUUGAAAACUACGGUGGAUAGAGAUGGGCACGCGCAAGAUUAGAUAGUUGGUGAGGUAACGGCUCACCAAGUCGAUGAUCUUUAGGAGGCCUGAGAGGGUGAUCCCCCACACUGGUACUGAGACACGGACCAGACUCCUACGGGAGGCAGCAGUGAGGAAUAUUGGACAAUGGGUUAGCGCCUGAUCCAGCCAUCCCGCGUGAAGGACGACGGCCCUAUGGGUUGUAAACUUCUUUUGUACAGGGAUAAACCUACUCUCGUGAGAGUAGCUGAAGGUACUGUACGAAUAAGCACCGGCUAACUCCGUGCCAGCAGCCGCGGUAA
rnacentral:rRNA from 1 species